CCAAUAGCGUAUAUUAAAGUUGUUGCAGUUAAAAAGCUCGUAGUUGAAUUUCGGGACUAAUAUGUUGGUCGUACUUUUGUACGUACUGGCAUUAUUGGUUUCUACCUUCUGAAGAACCGCGAUGUCAUUAAUUUGGUGUCGUGGGAAAUCAGGACUGUUACUUUGAAAAAAUUAGAGUGUUUAAAGCAGGCUCACGCUUGAAUACAUUAGCAUGGAAUAAUGAAAUAGGACGUUUGAUUCUAUUUUGUUGGUUUCUAGGAUCGACGUAAUGAUUAAUAGGGUUAGUUGGGGUCAUUAGUAUUCAAUUGUCAGAGGUGAAAUUCUUGGAUUUAUUGAAGACUAACUACUGCGAAAGCAUUUGCCAAGGAUGUUUUCAUUAAUCAAGAACGAAAGUUAGGGGAUCGAAGACGAUCAGAUACCGUCGUAGUCUUAACCAUAAACUAUGCCGACUAGGGAUCGGAUGAUGUUAAUUUUUUAAUGACUCAUUCGGCGCCUUACG
rnacentral:rRNA from 1 species